UACGGAGGGUGCAAGCGUUGUUCGGAAUUACUGGGCGUAAAGAGCGCGUAGGCGGCUAUUUAUGUCAGGUGUGAAAGUCCUCGGCUUAACCGAGGAAGUGCGCCUGAAACUGAGUAGCUUGAGUACGAGAGAGGAGAACGGAAUUCCUAGUGUAGAGGUGGAAUUCGUAGAUAUUAGGAAGAACACCGGUGGCGAAAGCG
rnacentral:rRNA from 1 species